CCAAUAGCGUAUAUUAAAGUUGUUGCAGUUAAAAAGCUCGUAGUUGAAUUUCGAGACCGGCUUACUGGUCGUGCUAUUGUACGUACUGGUAUAAUCGGUUUCUCCUUUCUGACGAACUAUAAUGCCAUUAAUUUGGUGUUUUAGGGAAUCAGGACUGUUACUUUGAAAAAAUUAGAGUGUUUAAAGCAGGCUCACGCUUGAAUACAUUAGCAUGGAAUAACGGAAUAGGACGUUUGAUUCUAUUUUGUUGGUUUCUAGGAUCGACGUAAUGAUUAAUAGGGAUAGUUGGGGGCAUUAGUAUUCAACUGUCAGAGGUGAAAUUCUUGGAUUUAUUGAAGACUAACUACUGCGAAAGCAUUUGCCAAGGAUGUUUUCAUUAAUCAAGAACGAAAGUUAGGGGAUCGAAGACGAUCAGAUACCGUCGUAGUCUUAACCAUAAACUAUGCCGACUAGGGAUCGGAUGAUGUUAAUUUUUUAAUGACUCAUUCGGCGCCUUACG
rnacentral:rRNA from 1 species